rnacentral:rRNA from 1 species
UACGUAGGGUGCGAGCGUUGUCCGGAAUUACUGGGCGUAAAGAGCUCGUAGGUGGUUUGUCGCGUUGUUCGUGAAAACUCACAGCUUAACUGUGGGCGUGCGGGCGAUACGGGCAGACUGGAGUACUGCAGGGGAGACUGGAAUUCCUGGUGUAGCGGUGGAAUGCGCAGAUAUCAGGAGGAAUACCGAUGGCGAAGGCAGGUCUCUGGGCUGAUACUGACGCUCAUGCACGAAAGCGUGGGGAGCAAACAGG